GACGAACGCUGGCGGCGUGCUUAACACAUGCAAGUCGAACGGAAAGGCCUGCUUUCCCUUGUGGAUUGCGGGUACUCGAGUGGCGAACGGGUGAGUAACACGUGAGUGAUCUGCCCCCAACCUGGGUAUAAGCCUGGGAAACUGGGUCUAAUUCCCGAUAGGACUGCAGGGUGGUGCCUGUGGUGGAAAACGAUUUUCUAGUGGUUGGGGAUGAGCUCGCGGCCUAUCAGCUUGUUGGUGGGGUAAUGGCCUACCAAGGCGGCGACGGGUAGCCGGCCUGAGAGGGUGGACGGCCACAUUGGGACUGAGAUACGGCCCAGACUCCUACGGGAGGCAGCAGUGGGGAAUAUUGCACAAUGGGCGGAAGCCUGAUGCAGCGACGCCGCGUGGGGGAUGACGGCCUUCGGGUUGUAAACUCCUUUCGACCGCGAGGAAGCCACCUGGUUGGAAGGGUGGUGACGGUAGUGGUAGAAGAAGCACCGGCUAACUACGUG
rnacentral:rRNA from 1 species